rnacentral:rRNA from 1 species
CAGCCGCCGCGGGAACACAGAGGGUGCAAGCGUUAAUCGGAAUUACUGGGCGUAAAGCGUGCGUAGGCGGUGAGUUAAGUCUGCUGUGAAAUCCCCGGGCUCAACCUGGGAAUGGCAGUGGAUACUGGCUCGCUAGAGUGUGUCAGAGGAUGGUGGAAUUCCCGGUGUAGCGGUGAAAUGCGUAGAGAUCGGGAGGAACAUCAGUGGCGAAGGCGGCCAUCUGGGACAACACUGACGCUGAGGCACGAAAGCGUGGGGAGCAAACAGGAUUAGAUACCCCAGUAGUCCCUGUCUCUUAUAC